AACCAACAAAAGGAAUGAUGCCUCCUCUGCUUUACCCUGUGCCUCAGAGGAAAGAAAGCUAUCCUGAGGCACCACAUGGCACAAAGCCUCUAUUUUCUCCUAUUCAUACACAGCAACCAUAUUCACCAACUUCAAUCCCGAUACCUCAAAGGAAAGAAAACUACCCUGAAACAAAUCCUGGACCAAAGCCUUUAUUUUCCCCUGGUUAUACACAACAAUCACAUUCACCAACUUCAAACCCGACACCUCAGAGGCCUGAGGCAGCACAUGGCACAAAGCCGCUGUUUUCCUCUGUUCAUACACAACAACCAUACUCACCAACUUCAAACUCGAUACCUCAAAGGAAAGAAAACUACCCUGAAACAACUCAUGGACCAAGGCCUCUGUUUUCCCCUGGUUAUACACAACAAUCACAUUCACCAACACCUCAGAGGAAAGAAAGCCAUCCUGAGGCAGCACACGGCACAAAGCCUCUGUUUACCCCUAUUCAUACACAGAAACCAUAUUCACCAACUUCAAACCCGAUACCUCAAAGGAAAGAGAACUACCCUGAAACAACUCAUGGACCAAGGCCUCUGUUUACCCCUAUUCAUACACAGAAACCAUAUUCACCAACUUCAAACCCGAUACCUCAAAGGAAAGAAAGCUACUCUGAAACAGCACACGGCACAAAGCCUCUGUUUACCCCUGUUCAUACACAGCAACCAUAUUCACCAACUUCAAACCCGAUACCUCAAAGGAAAGAAAGCUACCCUGAAACAGCACACGGUGCAAAGCCUUUGUUUUCCUCUGGUUAUACACCACAAUCACAUCCACCAACUUCAAACCCAACACCUCAAAGGAAAGAAAGCUACCCAGAAACAACACACGAUACAAACCCUAUGUUUUCCCCUGUUUCUACACAACAAUCAACUGCAAAUCCGACCUCUCAAAACAACGAAAGUCAGCCAAAGAAGAAAAAAGGUUGGACAUCUCUGUUUUCCUCUAAUGCUAAGCAACAACCACACCCUCCAACAUCACACUCAACACCUGAUAUGAAACAAAGCUACCCUGAUCAUGAAACUCAAGGUUUCCACCCUUCAUUUUCCCCUUCUUCUCCACAAAAGGAACGCUACAGUCCACAAAUGAAAGACCAUUACCCCGACCAAAUCCAG
rnacentral:lncRNA from 1 species